rnacentral:lncRNA from 1 species
AUGAAACAAAAGUACCCAGUCUUUCGUUUCCCUGACGUACCUGUCCCCCUGACAGUGGCACCAUCAGUUUGGGCUGUAUCUUGGAGAACCUUCGUCUUCAGCCUUAAUUUUAUUUUUAAUAUGCUUCUCAGAUGCUGCAUGGGCAGAUUGGGAAUUGUUGGUGUUGGGGAAAGGACAGCCUGGGAACCUGAGAACCCGAGAGCCGUCCCUGGCCCCCUAGAAGAGACAAGGUCUCAUGAUGAUGUUGCCCAGGCUGGCCUUGAACUUCUGGGCCAAGCAAUCCUCUUGCAUCAGCCUCCCAAAGAGCUGGAAUUACAAGCCUGAGCCACUGCGCCCAGCCCAGGGGUAUUUUUAAGGGCUUCCUUAGAAAAACCGAAAUCAUUCCUGGGUCCAAAGGCCACACACACAUCAUACCAGGAGAGAUAGGCAGACAGAAGGAGGAAGAAACAAGAGGCCCACAUGGCCAGGGGCAGACACAGUGAGGGAUACAGAGAAUAGGAAAGACAGGAGUAGAGACAGACAGGGAGACAGAUGGAUAGGGGAGAGCAGAGGUGGAGUGGGGAGAGAGACAGGUUGUGACGGGGAGCACAGGAAGAAACGGAGGCUCCCAGCUGGGCCUGGGUCAAGAGUGAAGCCUGCACAACACAGCCCUGCCCGAGCAUCCCGGUCCCCCCGAAGGGGGCGCUGUCUCCAGCUUCAGUUGAGUCCACCUCAGCCCUGUUCCCAUUAUUUCAUUUCUCAUGUUCAUGUUUGAAAGAAGACCUUCCCUUCUCCCUACCCUCCCCAUCACCAGACUCUUGCCACCAUCCCAGCCCUGAAGAGGAAGGACAGAAAGCCCCUCCAUUCAUCAGGACAGAGCCCGCGUAAUGGCGGUGAGCGAGGGGCUGGAACUGCCGUCUGACUGAACAUUAGUCAUGCUGCACGUUAUAUUCUCUAAUGAGAAAAUUAUUUCAAAUUGCCUCAAGGGAUGGUUGUGAUUAAACUAUUUGCCUUGACUUCCUCUGCUAAAUUGAACGUGUGCGCUUGUGUGUGUGCGAACACACACAUACACACAGUCUCCC